GAUGAACGCUGGCGGCGUGCCUAAUACAUGCAAGUCGAGCGAACAGAUAAGGAGCUUGCUCCUUUGACGUUAGCGGCGGACGGGUGAGUAACACGUGGGUAACCUACCUAUAAGACUGGGAUAACUUCGGGAAACCGGAGCUAAUACCGGAUAACAUUUGGAACCGCAUGGUUCUAAAGUGAAAGAUGGUUUUGCUAUCACUUAUAGAUGGACCCGCGCCGUAUUAGCUGGUUGGUAAGGUAACGGCUUACCAAGGCGACGAUACGUAGCCGACCUGAGAGGGUGAUCGGCCACACUGGAACUGAGACACGGUCCAGACUCCUACGGGAGGCAGCAGUAGGGAAUCUUCCGCAAUGGGCGAAAGCCUGACGGAGCAACGCCGCGUGAGUGAUGAAGGGUUUCGGCUCGUAAAACUCUGUUAUUAGGGAAGAACAAAUGUGUAAGUAACUGUGCACGUCUUGACGGUACCUAAUCAGAAAGCCACGGCUAACUACGUG
rnacentral:rRNA from 1 species